UUAUGACCUGGGCUACACACGUGCUACAAUGGUUGGUACAACGGGAUGCUACUUCGCGAGAAGAUGCUAAUCUCUUAAAACCAAUCUCAGUUCGGAUUGUAGGCUGCAACUCGCCUACAUGAAGUCGGAAUCGCUAGUAAUCGCGGAUCAGCAUGCCGCGGUGAAUACGUUCCCGGGCCUUGUACACACCGCCCGUCACACCACGGGAGUUUGCAACACCCGAAGUCGGUGAGGUAACCGCAAGG
rnacentral:rRNA from 1 species